AAAGUAAAAAUUUUAUUUCAUUUCACAACAGUAAUGAAUUCAUUUCGAUUACAAAAAUGAAUUAUUGUUAUAGUAAAUACUGAAUCGAAUCGUUUCACGUGUCCGCAAAUUAUCCGAUUCAUUGAAGUGCUCUUUGGUAAACCACAUUUUUUGUUUUUUGGUCUGACGUUAACGCAAACAAAGCGGAUGAUUCCCCAACUCAUGAACACGCAACGUAUUACUGCCCAUGUGAAAAACAAUGAUUUUCUAAAUUUAUCCCGCAAACACUAAGUGAUUGGCCUUACGACUUACGUCAAUUGUCAUUGCGAACGCAAGGCGAACUGGAAAUUGCAAUCGUUUGAAGUCAAACCCAAGAUCAGUCGGAAUCAUUGAAUUACGGAAAGCCGAGUACCGUUGCAAAGUCGCGGUGGAUUCAAAUUAUGCAAUAUCAUAAUAACUGUACCAACUUCGAGUUGCAAGUGGAAAUCCUGGUAACUCCAGAGAGUUCAAAAACUCCGUUGGAUAAUUUACUACAUCGUCGGGAUUUGUUAUGGAAUCAACGAAUUUGUAUGUCACCAAAUCGCCAGCAAUUUUUUAUUGAAUGGUGAAAUUCAGUGUGUGUGCAUCAUUGUUCUUUGUACAUCUUAACCAGGCAUAAUUCUGAUAAUUCUCACUAAUGUUUGGGAAAACAUUUUCAAUAAGAGCUAAAAAGCGAAAAGUCGUUGGUGCGUCCAGGAAGAAUAGACCACCAGUAUUAUUGUCCACCGCUUGCAAUAAUGUUUCGUUUACUUGUUA